GAUCUUCCACGUGAGGCGAAGUUUAGUACUAUAAAGCUUGUGUUAAUUGAGUAUGGAACCUCAGUAUAACCGUGACUUGGGUUUGCACAACUGCCAUUGCAUUGUUGAUACAUCCCGGAUAUCUUGCUUCCCACUCAAGUUGCUCCAUUGAGCAGCAGUGUAGCCUACUAUUAUGCUUGCUUUGGUUUUGUACAGAAAGUUCAUGGGUUGCAAUUUUUUAGAUGAAUAUUGAAAUUCUUGGAGAACUAUACUGGUAUUGUUUGUAUCUCUGAAUUUUGGGAUCUGUUAGUUUUCUCUUUUAUCAAGCAGAAACUAUGAAAAACUCCAGAUUGCCUUG